UUUUUUUUAAUAUCAUAAAAGCUUUUAAAAAAAGAGGUCAUGCAUCAAGAGAGACAACUCCAUGUGCUUUUUCUUGGAUGUAGAUUUUUUGCAUAAACUAAUUGUUUAAAGGAAAACAGUCAUUGUCAAUGUUACAAUGAUAGAAGAGCAUUUCAUAUUAUCACGUCAAACAAUAUGUAAUUGUUCAAAGUGUCUGAAUAGAAUUUUAAUAUGUUACAAAGAGUGUAUCAGUGUGUAUCAUUCGAUAUUUUUAAUAUAACACAAUAAAAAAAUUUAAGGGACCCAUGCAAAAUUUUUGACACUGCAUCUUUUGACAACAUCUAAGUCUUGAUCAACAUUUU
rnacentral:lncRNA from 1 species